rnacentral:rRNA from 1 species
UCCUACGGGGGGCAGCAGUGGGGGAUAUUGCACAAUGGGGGAAACCCUGAUGCAGCGACGCCGCGUGUGGGAAGACGGUCUUCUGGAUUGUAAACCACUGUCCCCAGGGACGAAAAUGACGGUACCUGGGGAGGAAGCUCCGGCUAACUACGUGCCAGCAGCCGCGGUAAUACGUAGGGAGCAAGCGUUGUCCGGAAUUACUGGGUGUAAAGGGAGCGUAGACGGCGCGGCAAGUCUGAAGUGAAAGGCAGGGGCUUAACCCCUGAACUGCUUUGGAAACUGCCAUGCUAGAGUGCUGGAGAGGU